CCUACGGGAGGCAGCAGUGGGGAAUUUUGGACAAUGGGCGCAAGCCUGAUCCAGCAAUGCCGCGUGAGUGAAGAAGGCCUUCGGGUUGUAAAGCUCUUUUGUCAGGGAAGAAACGGUAGAGGCUAAUAUCCUUUGCUAAUGACGGUACCUGAAGAAUAAGCACCGGCUAACUACGUGCCAGCAGCCGCGGUAAUACGUAGGGUGCAAGCGUUAAUCGGAAUUACUGGGCGUAAAGCGUGCGCAGGCGGUUUUGUAAGUCUGUCGUGAAAGCCCCGGGCUCAACCUGGGAAUUGCGAUGGAGACUGCAAGGCUUGAAUCUGGCAGAGGGGGGUAGAAUUCCACGUGUAGCAGUGAAAUGCGUAGAGAUGUGGAGGAACACCGAUGGCGAAGGCAGCCCCCUGGGUCAAGAUUGACGCUCAUGCACGAAAGCGUGGGGAGCAAACAGGAUUAGAUACCCUGGUAGUCCACGCCCUAAACGAUGUCUACUAGUUGUCGGGUUUUAAUUAACUUGGUAACGCAGCUAACGCGUGAAGUAGACCGCCUGGGGAGGUACGGUCGGUCGAGAAGUUAAACGUUAAAGUUAAAGUUAGUACGGCGUUGAGACGUUGCCGACGGACGACCGACGAGGGGAGGUUAGGGNGG
rnacentral:rRNA from 1 species